UACGUAGGUGGCGAGCGUUAUCCGGAAUUAUUGGGCGUAAAGCGCGCGCAGGCGGCUUUGUAAGUUUGGUGUUUAAUCUCAGAGCUCAACUCUGAUUCGCAUCGAAAACUGCAAGGCUUGAGUACAGAAGAGGAAAGUGGAAUUCCACGUGUAGCGGUGAAAUGCGUAGAGAUGUGGAGGAACACCAGUGGCGAAGGCGACUUUCUGGGCUGUAACUGACGCUGAGGCGCGAAAGCCAGGGGAGCAAACGGG
rnacentral:rRNA from 1 species